UACGUAGGGUGCGAGCGUUGUCCGGAUUUAUUGGGCGUAAAGAGCUCGUAGGCGGUUUGUCGCGUCGGCCGUGAAAUCUCCACGCUUAACGUGGAGCGUGCGGUCGAUACGGGCAGACUUGAGUUCGGUAGGGGAGACUGGAAUUCCUGGUGUAGCGGUGAAAUGCGCAGAUAUCAGGAGGAACACCCAUAGCGAAGGCAGCUUGCUGGGACGUUACUGACGCUAAGGCGCGAAAGCGUGGGGAGCGAACAGG
rnacentral:rRNA from 1 species